AGGGCUGUAGCUCAGUGGUAGGGCAUCUGCUUUGCAUGCAGAAGGUUCCAUAUUCAGUCCCUGGCACCUCCA